AACUUUCAACAACGGAUCUCUUGGCUCUCGCAUCGAUGAAAAACGCAGCGAAAUGCGAUAAGUAAUGUGAAUUGCAAAAUUCAGUGAAUCAUCGAAUCUUUGAACGCAACUUGCGCCCUUUGGUAUUCCGAAGGGCAUGCCUGUUUGAGUGUCAU
rnacentral:rRNA from 1 species